rnacentral:lncRNA from 1 species
GAAAGUUGGGCAUAAAUUAGUAGGUCAAUUCAAGAGGAAAUGACGAAAUGAAAGGAGGAAUAUGAUUGAUCUCUCACUUGUUGUGUAAUGUUAUUGAUGUAGUUCAAAUAACCAUUAGAGUUUCCGGUAUCCAAUUCAAUAUCUAACUAGAGAAGAAAGUAAGUAUGACUUUGUACUUUUUGUUGGCUUUUACUCUAGUGAGAAAGAUGUCUGUGAUGGUGAAUUUUGUGAA